AUGGAGAUUUUAAUCGAUUCCCCAAAUUAUCAGAGUUGGGCACCGUUAUCCUCUCUUUCAUACAGGAUUUAUCACUUGUUCCUGCUCCAGCACAGCUCCUGGACUGGCCCCAGGUGCUGGCCCCGGAGGUUUCAAUCCAAGCAUAAUUUACCGAGGCAUGUGUUUGGCAGCGGGACCCAGCUCACCGUUUUAGGUCAGCCCAAGGCCACCCCCUCAGUCACUCUGUUUCCGCCAUCUUCUGAGGAGCUGGAAGCCAACAAGACCACACUGGUGUGUCUCAUGAGUGACUUCUAUCCAGGAAUCUUGACGGUGAUCUGGAAGGCAGAUGGUACCCCCAUCACCCAGGACAUGGAGAUGACUGCGCCCUCCAAACAGAGCAACAAGUAUGUGGCCAGCAGCUAUCUGAGCCUGACGCCUGAGCAGUGGAGGUCCCCCAACAGCUUCAGCUGCCAGGUCACGCAUGAUGGGAGCACCGUGGAGAAGACAGUGGCCCUUGCAGAAUGUUCAUAGGUUCCCAACCCGUCCCCCACCUACGGGGGCCUGGAGCUGCAGGAUCCCAGGGGAGGGGUCUCUCUGCAUCCCAAGCCAUCCAGCCCUUGUGUACCCAGUAAACCCUCAAUAAACAUCCUUUGUCAACCAGAAAUCCUGCUCCCUCUCUUCAUUUCUUAUCUCUCAUACAAUUUGAUGCUUCUCCUGGGUUCUCAGUGUGGCGUUGGGGGAAUCCUGGCACCAGUGGGAAAGCAGCCUGGAGGAGAGGAUCACAGGCUCCCAGGCGUGUCCCCUGGGGACAUAGGCCAGGAUAGGAGGAGUCGGCUCAGUGAACACCGGUCCAUCCAUUCUCUCCCACCUCCCCUUCCUCCUUGCAGCUCACCCUCCAACUCGCUGUCUGUGUUUUGGAGGGAGCUAUUUCUGGCUGAGCCCCCGGAAAACCCUCUGUCCCUGUCCUGGUCUGGACCUUCCCCUGACCCACGGCCUCUCUUUCCUCAGCCUGGAAAUCCUACUCUAGGCCUGGAUUCCCUGUGCUUCUGGCUCUGGCCCCUGGAAUGCCAUCCUUCCUCUCUGCCCAACUCCCCACCCCCAAGGGCUGGACUGUCUAGGACACUCCCACACCAUCAAAUUCAUGAGCUCUUAAAUUUUUCCACCUGACAACAGGUUCAGAGGUGUGAGAAAAAUAGGAGGAAGUCAGGAAGGAAACACACAUGAAAGGCCUGCAAGAGGCUCAGGACACUUGUAAAAGAUAGGCUCUGAGCUCCCCAGGAACAAGUGCAAGAAGGGUAAUAGGUG